ACGACGCCCGCCUCCGUUCCUUCCUUCAUGCUCCUCUCUCCAACCCCUCUCACAUCCUCCACCUAACCAUGUCGCCACCGCUCGAGCACGACUACAUCGGCCUCUCCGCCGCCGACGGCGGCACCGCCGCCCGGCCGUCACUCAACCUCAAGGCCACCGAGCUCCGCCUCGGCCCGCCAGGCUCCGAGUCCCCCGACCGCGGAGACACCAAGAAGCCACUGGGACUGACUCUCGAUUUACUCCCUGCUAAGCCCGGCUUCGUCUCCGGCGCGAAGCGCGGGUUCUCGGAUGCCAGCGGCGCCUGGGCCUUCGCUGCCGGGGCUGGAUCUGAUGCUGAGGCGGCCAAGGGCGCCGCCGGUGGCGCCCCCGUGAAGGAGGGGGUGGCCGCGGCUGCUGCAGGGCUGGAGAAGAAGGCUCAGGCUGCAGCUGAUCGCGCUCCUGCUGCUAAGGCGCAGGUUGUUGGUUGGCCACCAAUCCGGAGCUACCGAAAGAACACGAUGGCGACGACGACGACUAACCCCGUAAAGAACAAAGAAGAUACCGAAGCAAAGCAAGGGAUGGGGUGCUUAUAUGUCAAGGUUAGCAUGGAUGGAGCUCCAUAUCUCAGGAAGGUGGAUCUCAAUAUGUACUGCAAUUACAAGGAGCUCUCUUAUGCGCUGGAGAAGAUGUUCAGCGGCUUUACCGGCCAAUGUGGUGGCCAAGGGAUUCCAGGCAGGGAUGGCCCGAGUGACAGCUGGCUGAAAGAUAUUCUUAAUGGAUCUGAAUAUGUGCUUACUUAUGAAGACAAGGAUGGCGAUUGGA
rnacentral:misc_RNA from 1 species